GCCGGCAGCUAGCUCUCUGCAACACUCACAUAGUCACCCACUGAAGCUAAUCAGGGCUCCGCCUGGCCAGUACCUGGAUGGGAGACCACAUGGGAAAGCCAGGUUGCUGUCAGAA
ensembl:rRNA 5S_rRNA 5S ribosomal RNA